rnacentral:rRNA from 1 species
AUUGAACGCUGGCGGCAGGCCUAACACAUGCAAGUCGAACGAGUGGCGCACGGGUGAGUAACGUCUGUGAAACUGCCUGAUGGAGGGGGAUAACUACUGGAACCGGUAGCUAAUCCCGCAUACCUUCAGAGGGGCCCCGAUGGGAUUGGCUUGUUGGUGGGGUAACGGCUCACCAAGGCGACGAUCCCUAGCUGGUCUGAGAGGAUGACCGGCCAACUGGGAACUGAGACAGGGCCCAGACUCCUACGGGAGGCGGCGGUGGGGAAUAUUGCACAAUGGGCGCAAGCCUAAUGAAGCCAUGCCGCGUGUAUGAAGAAGGCCUUCGGGUUGUAAAGUACUUUCAUCGGGGAGGCGUUACCCGCAGAAGAAGCACCGGCUAACUCCGUGCCAGCAGCCGCGGUAAUUC